rnacentral:SRP_RNA from 1 species
CCUGGGCAUGCCUGCCAUCCCCGCUACUCGGGAGGCUGAAGUAGCAGGCUUACUUGAGUCCAGGACUUCUGGGCUGCGGUGUUUUAUGCGAUUUGGUGCCAACAGUAAGUUUGGUAUCAAUAUGGUGACCUCCUGGGAGCAGGGGGCCACAAGGUUGCCUAAGAAGGGGUGAAGCAGCCCAGGUUGGAAACAGAAUGGGUCAAAAUUCCUUAUGCUGGACUCCUGAGGAGGGACAUGAUGGUCCCUGACCCUGGAGCCACCUGACUUGGGGAUGGAAAGUAACACUGCUCU